rnacentral:tRNA from 1 species
GCCCAGGUGGCGGAAUGGCAGACGCGGUGGACUCAAAAUCCACUGAUCGCAAGGUCGUGUGGGUUCGACUCCCUCCCUGGGCACCA